CGAUUUACCUGUUGUAUUCUUAAUCACAACAGAGUAUGGAACAUUCAAACAUGUGUCGACGUUGUCGCCUCACUGUACGGAUUAAAAUAUCCCAAACAAAUAAUGAAUUAAUAAAAACCUUGGUUAUGUUUUAUUUUAAAAAAGUAUUUCUGUUACUAUAAGAGUUGUUAGUGGUGUAGCUUCUGUUUAACGAGCUUGGACGAGGGGGGCAGAUGUAGUGUAACGGGAUUUAUUUAUCGCAUAUUCUCCUGUAUAUUACAAUGUAAUUAUCUGUUGGUAUACCGCACUGUACACAUAGCUUGUGUCAGUCGCUAUCGGAACAACCACGAGGUUAGUCGGGGACCUUGGUUAAUUUUCCACGUUUUUCUUCGCCAUCCCCUGGAAUACUGAUUGUAUAACGUGUGCUAUAUUUGUCCUGGUGACAUUUAAAAUUGAAGAAAACCAAGGACCACGUGUUGAUGCAUAAAAGUUUAGUGUCUAAAAGUCGUGUUUUCUUCGAAGCCACCCCAUGUGAAAUCUCUAGGCACCCUAAAUUAUAAAUACAGGAGGAUUCCACGUAACAUAAAUUGUUUUAGUUCAUCUUAAUUUGUCAAUUUGAAUAUGUAAAGUUAGUAAUAAUUUUAGGCGACGAUGACAAAUAUAUAUAUAUAUAUAUAUAUAUCUGUUAAAUUAGAGGUUUUAAAAAAGAAUUUCUAGAAGCGAUGCCAUAAUGCUGUGUUCUUGAAAUUUAUGCAAGCUACGAAUUGAAGUAGUGGACAAUGAAACAAUGGUAGCUACCAGAAUGUUGGUUUAGUUCUCUCAGGACAAAUGGUUAUUGACUAUGGGACAAAGGAGGUGCCCAGAAUGUUAUAGUUUUCUCACGACAUAUGAGUGAUCAAAGGGAAUCUGAUGUGAAAGAAGUGAAACCAAAGGUAUUAUGACAAAAUGCUCUAAAAUAUAAAGGGUUAAAUACGGAUUUUCUACAACCACUGUCACAAGAAGAUUAAGGAUGAAGUCCAUUCUAUACAUUGCUUCAAAGAAAUAUCAAGUACAGCCAAUGUAAAGAAGAAUAUAUUAAGCUUUAUUUACAUAAAAUUGGUGUAGUGGUAGUGUAUUUAUACUGCGGUGGUAGCGGUAAUUUCUAAAUGAAGUUUUCGCAAUAGGCAGUAUGGUAUCAUUAUAGUAUUAACAUAUCACGUUAUUAAUGUUUCUGCACUACACACACAAAUACACUUCAACUGCACCAACGUUUAUGUGAAUGAGCUACUAGUAUCUGUGUACCAGAUAUUGAAAAUUAAUCAUUUAAAUUCAAAAAUUAAAAUAAUAAGUAGUCGUGUAUGUUACUUAAAAUAGGUAAUAUUUUAAGCAACAUGUAUAAAUUGCGAUUUAUGUUAUGUAAAUUAUAUUAAAAUUUAUAUAUUAUUGAGUA